rnacentral:rRNA from 1 species
GACGGGGGGGGCAAGUGUUCUUCGGAAUGACUGGGCGUAAAGGGCACGUAGGCGGUGAAUCGGGUUGAAAGUGAAAGUCGCCAAAAAAGUGGCGGAAUGCUCUCGAAACCAAUUCACUUGAGUGAGACAGAGGAGAGUGGAAUUUCGUGUGUAGGGGUGAAAUGCGCAGAUAUCAGGAGGAACACCAAUUGCGAAGGCAGCUCGCUGGGGACGUAACUGACGCUGAGACGCGAAAGCGUGGGGAGCAAACAGG